rnacentral:rRNA from 1 species
AGAGUUUGAUCAUGGCUCAGGAUGAACGCUAGCGAUAGGCCUAACACAUGCAAGUCGAGGGGCAUCACAUGAAGCAGCAAUGCGGAUGGUGGCGACCGGCGCACGGGUGAGUAACGCGUAUGCAAUCUACCUACAACAAGGGGAUAACCCGUUGAAAGACGGACUAAUACCCUAUAAAACAGGGUUUCCGCAUGGGAAUAUUUGUUAAAGAUUCAUCGGUUGUAGAUGAGCAUGCGUUCCAUUAGCUGGUUGGUGAGGUAACGGCCCACCAAGGCAACGAUGGAUAGGGGAACUGAGAGGUUUAUCCCCCACACUGGUACUGAGACACGGACCAGACUCCUACGGGAGGCAGCAGUGAGGAAUAUUGGUCAAUGGACGCAAGUCUGAACCAGCCACGUCGCGUGAAGGAAGACGGCCCUAUGGGUUGUAAACUUCUUUUGUAAGGGAAUAAAAAGAGUCACGAGUGACUUAUUGCAUGUACCUUACGAAUAAGGAUCGGCUAACUCCGUGCCAGCAGCCGCGGUAAUACGGAGGAUCCGAGCGUUAUCCGGAUUUAUUGGGUUUAAAGGGUGCGCAGGCGGGAGAUUAAGUCGGUGGUGAAAUUUUGCAGCUCAACUGUAAAAGUGCCAUUGAUACUGGUUUUCUUGAGUGUGGAUGAAGUAGGCGGAAUUUGUGGUGUAGCGGUGAAAUUCGUAGAUAUUCGGUGGAACACCAGUGGCGAAGGCGGCUAACUGGACUGA